GAUGAACGCUGGCGGCGUGCCUAAUACAUGCAAGUCGAGCGAAUGGAUUAAGAGCUUGCUCUUAUGAAGUUAGCGGCGGACGGGUGAGUAACACGUGGGUAACCUGCCCAUAAGACUGGGAUAACUCCGGGAAACCGGGGCUAAUACCGGAUAACAUUUUGAACCGCAUGGUUCGAAAUUGAAAGGCGGCUUCGGCUGUCACUUAUGGAUGGACCCGCGUCGCAUUAGCUAGUUGGUGAGGUAACGGCUCACCAAGGCAACGAUGCGUAGCCGACCUGAGAGGGUGCACGGCCACAAUGGGACUGGGACACGGCCCAGACUCCUACGGGAGGCAGCAGUAGGGAAUCUUCCGCAAUGGACGAAAGUCUGACGGAGCAACGCCGCGUGAGUGGUGAAGGCUUUCGGGUCGUAAAACUCUGUUGUUAGGGAAGAACAAGUGCUAGUUGAAUAAGCUGGCACCUUGACGGUACCUAACCAGAAAGCCACGGCUAACUACGUGCCAGCCGCCGCCGUAA
rnacentral:rRNA from 1 species